rnacentral:rRNA from 1 species
GUGAGGAAUAUUGGUCAAUGGGCGCAAGCCUGAACCAGCCAUCCCGCGUGCAGGAAGAAGGCGCUAUGCGUUGUAAACUGCUUUUCCAGGGGGCGAACAUCCCGCACGAGUGCGGGACUGACGGUACCUUGGGAAUAAGCAUCGGCUAACUCCGUGCCAGCAGCCGCGGUAAUACGGAGGAUGCAAGCGUUAUCCGGAUUUAUUGGGUUUAAAGGGUGCGUAGGCGGAUUAAUAAGUCAGUGGUGAAAACCUGCAGCUUAACUGUGGAACUGCCGUUGAUACUGUUAGUCUUGAGUAUGGUCAAGGUAGGCGGAAUGUGUAAUGUAGCGGUGAAAUGCUUAGAUAUUACACAGAACACCGAUUGCGAAGGCAGCUUACUGGGCCGUUACUGACGCUGAUGCACGAAAGCGUGGGGAUCGAACAGGAUUAGAAACCCUAGUAGUCC